AGUGAACGCUGGCGGUAGGCCUAACACAUGCAAGUCGAACGGCAGCACAGUAAGAGCUUGCUCUUACGGGUGGCGAGUGGCGGACGGGUGAGGAAUACAUCGGAAUCUGCUUUUUCGUGGGGGAUAACGUAGGGAAACUUACGCUAAUACCGCAUACGACCUACGGGUGAAAGCAGGGGAUCUUCGGACCUUGCGCGAUUGAAUGAGCCGAUGUCGGAUUAGCUAGUUGGCGGGGUAAGGGCCCACCAAGGCGACGAUCCGUAGCUGGUCUGAGAGGAUGAUCAGCCACACUGGAACUGAGACACGGUCCAGACUCCUACGGGAGGCAGCAGUGGGGAAUAUUGGACAAUGGGCGCAAGCCUGAUCCAGCCAUACCGCGUGGGUGAAGAAGGCCUUCGGGUUGUAAAGCCCUUUUGUUGGGAAAGAAAAGCAGCAGGUUAAUACCCCGCUGUUCUGACGGUACCCAAAGAAUAAGCACCGGCUAACUUCGUG
rnacentral:rRNA from 1 species